rnacentral:rRNA from 1 species
GCCAGCAGCCGCGGUAAUUCCAGCUCCAAUAGCGUAUAUUAAAGUUGUUGUGGUUAAAAAGCUCGUAGUUGGAUCUCGGCGGACUGAGGGCGGUUUGCUUGCUAGUAUUACUGCCCUAUAGUCCGUAGUUUUGCCAGAGGUUUCGGGGUGCUCUUAAUCGAGUGUCCCGGGAUGCUGGCAGGUUUACUUUGAAAAAAUUAGAGUGCUCAAAGCAGGCUAUUACGCCUGAAUAUUCGUGCAUGGAAUAAUAGAAUAGGAAGUCGUUUCUAUUUUGUUGGUUUUCGGAAAUCGACUUAAUGAUUAAUAGGGACAGUCGGGGGCAUUUGUAUUCAAACGACAGAGGUGAAAUUCUUGGACCGUUUGAAGACAAACUACUGCGAAAGCAUUUGCCAAGAAUGUUUUCAUUAAUCAAGAACGAAAGUUAAAGGUUCGAAGGCGAUUAGAUACCGCCCUAGUUUUAACCAUAAACGAUGCCAGCUAGCGAUCUGCGGACGUUUUUUUUGUAGACUCCGCAGGAAGCUUCCGGGAAACCAAAGCAUUUGGGUUCCAGGGGAAGUAUGGUUGCAAAGCUGAAACUUAAAGGAAUUGACGGAAGGGCACCACCAGGAGUGGAGCCUGUGGCUUAAUUUGACUCAACACGGGAAAUCUCACCAGGCCCGGACACUGGAAGGAUUGACAGAUUGAUAGCUCUUUCCUGAUUCGGUGGGUGGUGGUGCAUGGCCGUUCUUAGUUGGUGGAGUGAUUUGUCUGGUUAAUUCCGAUAACGAACGAGACUCUGUCCUGCUAAAUAGUGUCUGCUUCUCUUUUGAGCAGACAAUUCUUCUUAGAGGGACUGGCGACUCUUAGUCGCACGAGAUUGAGCAAUAACAGGUCUGUGAU